CCUGUAGCUCAAUUGGAUAGAGCGUCUGACUACGGAUCAGAAGGCUGGGGGUUCAAGUCCUCUUG
rnacentral:tRNA from 1 species